UACGUAGGCAGCAAGCGUUGUUCGGAGUUACUGGGCGUAAAGGGUGUGUAGGCGGUUUUCUAAGUUUGGUGUGAAAUCUCCCGGCUCAACUGGGAGGGGGCGCCGAGAACUGGAAGGCUAGAGUAUGGAAUGGGAGAGUGGAAUUCCUGGUGUAGCGGUGAAAUGCGUAGAUAUCAGGAGGAACACCUGUGGUGAAGACGGCUCUCUGGACCAUCACUGACGCUGAAACACGAAAGCGUGGGUAGCAAACAGG
rnacentral:rRNA from 1 species